UUUUCAUGUACGUUGUAUUAGCUUCAAAAGCUUUACAGACUUCAACAACAAUUGAGUUAAUAGUAACAAAGGAAGCAGGGGAAGAAGGAGAAAUCAGGGGUGGGGAAGGAUUUUUCAGUAAACAAAUCUCUAUGGAGAGAAUGGGUUUGGCAUUGUUUAGCUGUAGACUAAUCUUAAAAGAAAUAUUGGGAACCAUCUGACAAGGAGCCCCUAGCAUAUCCUUGGAUUUUUGACAUUCACCGUGCUACGGUUCCUAAGCUUAAGGGACGCAACAGCCAACUCUCACCUACCGGAGCCAAUCAAAAUGGAUUGCUCUGAAGCUGAGUUGCUUGUGUGAGGAAAGUGUAGGAAGCUCAUGGCUGCAGAGUAAUGCAGGGAAAACAUAAGCAAGAGAGAGAGGGAGAGAGAAGAAAAGAAUCAAGUAGCAGAGGAUAUAAUCAGCCCCAUAAAGGGAAACGUCCAUAACAUCUGCAGCUCUGUUUAUGCUGCUUUGUGUAAUAGGCGCCAGUCCUCUCUGUCCCCGAGGGAGAUUUUACAGCAUUAAUUCACUCUGCACAAUUCGAGCCAGCAAGGCUUCUCUUCAGCAGCCUCCUUUCCCAGCCCUCCACCCCACUCUGCUACAAGGACAGAGAGAGAGAGGCCAUUAGGAACUGCACCCCUCCAGCUGACCUUCCUUUGCCCCUGGCUCAAUGUCUCCAGUUCCCAAUGAGGCAGAUCCAGAAGUGCCCCGAAUGGACCCGAGGAUUUUAAUUUUCCUUCUGUAUGUAAUGAUCCUCCACGAGCUAGUCAGUGGCUGGAUGGAGUAUCAGAAGCAGGUAACCAAACCUAAGAAGCAAGCAGGUCCUGUUUGGUCCUCAAGCAACAAUUCUUCCAGAACAAACCAUUCUGGCUUCUCCAGGCCGUUGGUGCACUCUGUGCGGAGAGAGCGAUACAGGGACUGGAGGAAGCCAGGCCGAAUCAUCAGGAAGGUAUGAGUCUGCCUCACUAGUCCUUCGGGAAGCUUGGCCUGGGAUACCUACUGAUCCAGAAGCAUGCUGUCCCGUGAGGUCAGCACUCCAAAUGCUGCCUUGUUAUCUCGCAGUAGCCAACAUGAGAACAACAUCUAGGCACCGUGAUCAACCAUUCUGUUCCUGAGACUGACCCAGCUUUGUACAGAGACUUCUGAGCCCGUUACAGCUGAAGAGAAAAGAAUACCUUCUUCUUAGGAUCCAAGUGCUGCUCACCAGUGAUGAGAGAUCGGGGAACAAAUGCAUCACAGCUGGCGGCAGAAACCAGCCAGAGGUGGGGUGAGAUUUCUGGUUGCCAUACUGCAAAGAGAAGAACAAGUCCACCCUUUAUUUUUUUGAUUGUAGAUUUCCAGGAGGUGACUGUUCAGAUAGCUAGAUUAGUUCAGAUGGAUCUAGAGAGUGAAACCUAUUGGAAGCAGCUUUUGACUGAACACACAGAGGGUGGUGAGAGUGUUGCUCUUUUACUGGAGUCUGCAUUUUAAGCAGUGAUAUCAUAUUGUAGAGGCAAAGCAUCUGUUUUCACAUCCUGUAGAGUCAAAUGAAGAAUCUCUUGGAGGGAUUGUCUUAAUGAGCUAUUCAGCUGUAUUCAAAAUAAAAACAGCUAGCUGCCUUAGUUGUUUAAAAUAAUAUUUGGCAUCAACUUAGCCCCUUUUCCAAUUUGCAACUCACCUCUAGACAUGAUAGAUGCCCACAGAUUCAUUAUGCAGAAGUAUUCACUAGUAUGUGUUAACAGUGUUCAGUCAGUUGAUUAUUUGUAAAUGGUUCACUUUCAUGAUGUUACCCAAGUCAUAUGGUGCUUGAUAUUACUAAAAGUAGAGAACCCAAACCACAAGUAGCAAAUAACUCACUCUCUGAUAUAAAUUCUCAGUGAAUAACCUUUACUGCUGAAAUGCUUGACAUUCUGAAAUGUUUGAAAUGUUAGGUAUUCUUAGAAUUGUGGCCUUUUUCACAAAUUCCUGGUGGCUGACCAAAUACUCAUGACUGAUAAAUAACAACCUCUUGAAUAACAGAAAACCAAAUACACUGUCCUUUUGUGAAAAGACACUAGUUUUACUAUUUAACCACUUCUAGUUCUGAGGGGGAAACAUGCAGUCAGAUUGUUUUUUUCCCCACUGUCCAGGAUUUGCUGCUCGUCCUUUUUUCAGCUACUCUUGAUGGGAAUUUAAUUAGUGAAAAUGUAUGUAAAAUAAGUUUUACUUAAUUGUUUGUGCAAUGCAUGGUGGGACUGAGCCUGGCUGCAAAAGCCAAGAACCUCAAAUCAGUUGAGACAAAGUAGUUCUGG